rnacentral:rRNA from 1 species
AUUGAACGCUGGCGGCAGGCCUAACACAUGCAAGUCGAGCGGAUGAGAAGAGCUUGCUCUUCGAGUUAGCGGCGGACGGGUGAGUAAUGCCUAGGAAUCUGCCUGGUAGUGGGGGACAACGUUUCGAAAGGAACGCUAAUACCGCAUACGUCCUACGGGAGAAAGCAGGGGACCUUCGGGCCUUGCGCUAUCAGAUGAGCCUAGGUCGGAUUAGCUAGUUGGUGAGGUAAUGGCUCACCAAGGCGACGGUCCGUAACUGGUCUGCGAGGAUGUGCUGUCACACUGGAACUGAGGCCCGGUCCAGACUCCUGCGGGGGGGAGCAGUGUGUAAUAUUGGACGAUGGGCGAAAGCCUGUUCCAGCCAUGCCGCGUGUGUGAGGAAGGUUUUCGGAUUGUCAAGCACUUUCAGUUGGGAGGAAGGGCUGUAAGCUAAUAUCUUGCAGUUUUAACGUUACCAACAGAAUAAGCACCGACUAACUCGGUGCCAGCAGCCGCCGUAAAAC